rnacentral:rRNA from 1 species
AAACAACUCUCGACAAUGGAUAUCUUGGCUCUUGCAUCGAUGAAGAACGUAGUGAAAUGCGAUACUUGGUGUGAAUUGCAGAAUCCCGUGAACCAUUGAGUCUUUGAACGCAAGUUGCGCCUGAAGCCAUCUGGUCAAGGGCACGUCUGCUUGGGAGUCAUGC